UACGUAGGGCGCAAGCGUUGUCCGGAAUUAUUGGGCGUAAAGAGCUCGUAGGCGGCUUGUCACGUCGGAUGUGAAAGCCCGGGGCUUAACCCCGGGUCUGCAUUCGAUACGGGCAGGCUAGAGUUCGGUAGGGGAGAUCGGAAUUCCUGGUGUAGCGGUGAAAUGCGCAGAUAUCAGGAGGAACACCGGUGGCGAAGGCGGAUCUCUGGGCCGAUACUGACGCUGAGGAGCGAAAGUGUGGGGAGCGAACAGG
rnacentral:rRNA from 1 species